ACUCCUACGGGAGGCAGCAGUAGGGAAUAUUGCACAAUGGAGGAAACUCUGAUGCAGCGACGCCGCGUGAGCGAUGAAGGCCUUCGGGUUGUAAAGCUCUGUGAUAUGGGAAGAUAAUGACGGUACCAUAUCAGAAAGGACCGGCUAACUUCGUGCCAGCAGCCGCGGUAAUACGAGGGGUCCAAGCGUUGUUCGGAAUUACUGGGCGUAAAGCGGGUGUAGGCGGCCACGCCAGUCGGAUGUGAAAGCCCUGGGCUCAACCCAGGAAGUGCAUCCGAUACUGCGUGGCUUGAGUACUGGAGAGGGAAGUGGAAUUCCUGGUGUAGCGGUGAAAUGCGUAGAUAUCAGGAGGAACAUCGGUGGCGAAGGCGGCUUCCUGGACAUGUACUGACGCUCAGACCCGAAAGCGUGGGGAGCAAACAGGAUUAGAUACCCUGGUAGGCUCUGCU
rnacentral:rRNA from 1 species